rnacentral:rRNA from 1 species
UACGUAGGGUGCGAGCGUUAAUCGGAAUUACUGGGCGUAAAGCGUGCGCAGGCGGUUCGUUAAGUCAGAUGUGAAAGCCCCGGGCUCAACCUGGGAACUGCAUUUGAAACUGGCGGGCUUGAGUGUGGCAGAGGGGGGUGGAAUUCCGCGUGUAGCAGUGAAUGCGUAGAUAUGCGGAGGAACACCGAUGGCGAAGGCAAUCCCCUGGGCCUGCACUGACGCUCAUGCACGAAAGCGUGGGGAGCAAACAGG